UGUGUACCUGGCUUUUUCCGCUUCGUUCAUCAAGCAGCAGGGAUAUAUUCUUGUCACUGCAAUACUAUGGGCAAUGAAAACAACGUGUGAAAGGUUCCUCUGAGAAGAAGUCUGAAACUCCGGGACAAAAUGACAUUCCUGUUAUCAACAUUCCGAUAUUCGAAAUGGUUUGGCAUCACUCUGGAAAACGACGAAAUGACCCCUUUAGACAUCUAUGUAGAAUCUGAGGACGGCAAAAGCCUCAACUUCAUGACUUUUACCUGUCACAGGCCACCAGCUUCAUCAACAUGAGAAACAGCAGAAGGAUGUCCUGACCUAGCACGGACGACAUUUGUGCUGGCAGUAGUGUUACAGUGGAAUGACUUUCAGGUGUCUGUUGAUAAUAAUUUGGUGUUCACUCUGAAGAUCCCCGAGCCGAAACCAGUGAACGCGGUCACAGUGGCAGGAGACGUUAAAGUCCGGAGGAUUUACAUAGAGUGAUACAUUUCAAGAUAUCACACUUACAACUGUUAAUUGUCCAACAAUUCGAUUUGUCUUAUAGAUUACACUUAAUGCUUUUGUUUAUUGUUCCAAGGACACGGUGUAACUAUAGUAAACAAUAUUACAACUGAGAAAGACAUAAAAUGUUUUACAAGCAUUACAGAAUUAUGAAACAAUGUCCAUGUCUUUAUUUUAAACAAUGGUUUGAAAAUGGAA